AACGUAGGUGGCAAGCGUUGUCCGGAAUUACUGGGUGUAAAGGGAGCGCAGGCGGGUGUGCAAGUUAAAUGUGAAAUCUAUGGGCUCAACCCAUAAAUUGCGUUUAAGACUGCACAUCUUGAGUGGAGCAGAGGCAAGCGGAAUUCCCGGUGUAGCGGUGGAAUGCGUAGAUAUCGGGAGGAACAUCGGUGGCGAAGGCGGCUUGCUGGGCUUUUACUGACGCUGAGGCUCGAAAGCGUGGGUAGCAAACAGGAUUAGAUACC
rnacentral:rRNA from 1 species